UGUGGGUUUGGAAUAACAGGCAGGAAGAUGCCCCGAAGGGAGCAUUUGGAGAGAGAGAAGCAGGACCCCGGGAGGCGUCAAUGUCCUUGCCGUGGCACCAUCAUGUCUUUGCUCCAUGGAGAAGAGAUGAAAACGGGAGCCUCUUUGCUGCAAAGCCGAUGAGGCCAAGCUCCCAAAGCGAGAAGCAAAACAUAGGCAAGGAGCAGCAUCUCUCACCCCGGCAGGAUCCUGCUAGGAUCACGAUGGGAUGCACAUCAGCCGAGAUCGUCCACCUGGAGAGCUGUGACUCCAUGGCACCAACUGUGGGUGGCAGGCCCACUGGGUGAGCACCAGAGGAAAUGAAGAAGUGGAAUUCUCUCAUGGGACUUGUACAUUGAGUGCAAAUAAACAGAAGACAGUCAGUGCCAACACAUCUGAUGGUGGCACCUAAUGGGAAGUCCACAGGACCCCCUGCAGAGAUUCCUAGAGCUGCCCUAAUCCCUCCCUUUCCCGAGCACUGGUUUUUCUGAUUUUCUCAAUUUUUUAAUAAGUUAGAAGUCAUUCCUGUGGCUUGCAGAAUAGAACCUAA